rnacentral:miRNA from 1 species
GACAAAGGAAUCGAUCGUAUCG